GGGCGGGUAGCGCAGUGGUCAAGCGUGUUCCUAAGCGUUACAACAACAGCGUUGUUUUCUUCACCUUUCUCUACUUCUUCUCAGCGCUUUAGCAAAAGACCUGGGUUCGAAUCCUAGCCCGCCCA